CUGUCCAUGAGUCCAUCCCCUCUAUAACCUCCCCUCCAUGCCACCACCACCUCCAGCUCGCCCCCCCACGUCCACAUUGCCGCUCCAUCAGCAUCUCCUCGCAGGCUCGCAUCAGAUUCGAAAUUUCCUGACGCCUGCUAGGUCCGGUCUCAUGGUAGCUGUGCAUUCUUCUAUGACUAGCUGACCAUAUUGCCACAAGCCACAUGUGGGAUUUGUCCUUCAAGUCGAUUUGAUGAGACAUCGAGUAUCCCCAGCUGAGGCAAUUUUCCGAUGCAUGGUGGUAUGACUCCAGUAAUACUAUUCUCCAAGGCACGCAUCAUAGUAAGUUUGAAGCAUGAACACCAAUGUUUGGAGAGUUGGCCAAAUAGUCUAUUUGAACUGAUAUCAAUAUAGACAAGAUUCGGAUGAACUCCCAUCUUCGAGAUAUCACCUUCGAGACGAUUUUGCUCGAGGCGAACCCUUAUUAGUCCAGUGCACUUUAGCAAGCUCGUAGGUAAGGGUCCGAUCAAAUUGUUGUUUGUAGCGGUCAACUUUUGUAGCCGGCCUCCAGCACAAAGACCGGGUGGUAGGACACCAGAGAGGUUGUUAAAAGCGACUUGCAACUCCACCAGAUUCUUUAAUUGGCCAAUUUCAUGAGGAAUAUGCUGAGAAAGUUGGUUACUAUAAA